UGGUAUGUACUGAUCUUUACUGAUUCCUCCUUCCUGAUGAACCGUAAUGCCAUUAAUUUGGUGUUGCGGGGAGACUGGACUGUUACUUUGAAAAAAUUAGAGUGUUUAAAGCAGGCUAACGCUUGAAUACAUUAGCAUGGAAUAAUGAAAUAGGACGUUCGAUCCUAUUUUGUUGGUUUCUAGGAUUGACGUAAUGAUUAAUAGGGAUAGUUGGGGGCAUUAGUAUUCAAUUGUCAGAGGUGAAAUUCUUGGAUUUAUUGAAGACUAACUACUGCGAAAGCAUUUGCCAAGGAUGUUUUCAUUAAUCAAGAACGAAAGUUAGGGGAUCGAAGACGAUCAGAUACCGUCGUAGUCUUAACCAUAAACUAUGCCGACUAGGGAUCGGAUGAUGUUAAUUUUUUAAUGACUCAUUCGGCGCCUUACGGGAAACCAAAGUGUUUGGGUUCCGGGGGGAGUAUGGUCGCAAGGCUGAAACUUAAAGGAAUUGACGGAAGGGCACCACCAGGGGUGGAGCCUGCGGCUUAAUUUGACUCAACACGGGGAAACUCACCAGGUCCAGACAUAGUAAGGAUUGACAGAUUGAGAGCUCUUUCUUGAUUCUAUGGGUGGUGGUGCAUGGGCCGUUCUUAGUUGGUGGAGUGAUUUGUCUGGUUAAUUCCGUUAACGAACGAGACCUUAACCUCCUAAAUAGCUAGGCUUAACUUUGUUAAGUCGUCAGCUUCUUAGAGGGACUAUCGG
rnacentral:rRNA from 1 species